CCUACGGGCGGCAGCAGUGGGGAAUAUUGGACAAUGGGCGAAAGCCUGAUCCAGCCAUGCCGCGUGUGUGAAGAAGGCCUUCGGGUUGUAAAGCACUUUCAGUGGGGAAGAAAGCCUUGGGGCUAAUACCCUCGAGGAAGGACAUCACCCACAGAAGAAGCACCGGCUAACUCCGUGCCAGCAGCCGCGGUAAUACGGAGGGUGCGAGCGUUAAUCGGAAUUACUGGGCGUAAAGCGCGCGUAGGCGGUCUGAUAAGCCGGUUGUGAAAGCCCCGGGCUCAACCUGGGAACGGCAUCCGGAACUGUCAGGCUAGAGUGCAGGAGAGGAAGGUAGAAUUCCCGGUGUAGCGGUGAACUGCGUAGAGAUCGGGAGGAAUACCAGUGGCGAAGGCGGCCUUCUGGACUGACACUGACGCUGAGGUGCGAAAGCGUGGGUAGCAAACAGGAUUAGAUACCCCUGUAGUC
rnacentral:rRNA from 1 species